AAGGAGUCAAGCACAGAACACAGGCAUAGGUCCUUCAGCAGGGGAGGCCCUCCUUCACCAGCCCGCUCUUCCAGCAGGGAACUUUCCUAGAGAACUCCUACUUCUUUAGGUUUGCUUCUUAGUCUUCUUUGAUUCCCUAAGUUUAUGAUCUGUCGGAAAGCCAAUCAGAUGCAAAACAGGGCACGGAUAACCAGUCCAAGGCAGUCUGUAGAACAUGAAUUAUCCUUAAUUAAAAUAUCACCGAAGCUGGGUGUGGUGGCACACACCUAUCAUCCCAGCACUG